AACCCUAAUAAACGAGAGCCUAGGCAAAAACCCUAAACCCUGUCCCCUUUUUAGAAAUCCUGCAGAUUCCACAACACCCUAAACCCUUAAGGUAAUCAUGAAGACCGUCACUGGGAAAAUCGUAUCUUCGACUCCAGUUCCCAUCUACAAAGCCGCCUCUAUCAUCUCCAAUUUCGCCUCUUCAGAGACUGGCGCCUCCCAGGCUGUCAACGCAUACCUUCGACGCGCCACCGCUGCCUUCGAUGAGUUAGCUCGCCUGCAUCCAAAACCCGAUCGCAAAAAACACAAGAAACGCAGAAAACACAGAUGGGAUGCUACUGUUACUGUUACUGGUGAAAUACCGGCGGUAAGUGAGGGUCCAAGUCAUGGGUGAUCGGAGGAAAGUAUGCAGUGAAGGAACGAGAGAAAAAAAAGAAGUUAAUGCUUGUUUCAUCAAUUUCAGUAUGUGGGUUUGUCCUAAUUUCCAAAGUAACGUUUUUAUUUGGAAAUUGUUCGCAAGCUUUUAAGGAAAGAUAAUUAAUGGUAGAGAAAUUGUUUCAUCAAACUUGUAUAUUGAUUUUUAGUACCAUUCAUAUCUCUGCAUCUCAUA
rnacentral:misc_RNA from 1 species